UAUAUCUUUUAAGUUUCUAUAAAGCAUGUAAAAUACACACAGUACUGAACAUACUUCACAUACUGUACAGUACAUACUAUGUACAUUAUAAGAUAUAGAAAUAGAAACAACUGGAAGAACUCUGUAGUCAAAACUCACUAUUCCCAUGACGUCUUGGUGUUAGUGUAAUUUACAGAGCAGUCAGAACAAGAAGAAUCUGAAGUAGAAGCGUGAGCAGGACCCAGUUAAAGGCUCAGUUGUUCUCCCAGGACCAGCGCCGCAGGACGUGUCUCCAGCGUGCGGCAGCGGCGCCCGGACCUGCAGGCUGGAGUUAGACCUCGCCGGGAACCCGCGCAGGGAGAGGGUCAAGCUGCCCUCCUCCAUCCGCGGCCGCAAGCCCGGCGGCCUGCCGCACCAGAAGUUCACUGCCGUCGAGGACCCUGUGAGGAGGAAGGUGAGAACAGUGUCAGUGGCCGGCCCUCAGGCCAGUGGCACACUUCAGUGUGUUCGCCGGGGUUUUGAGCUCUUCCCUGCAGAAGUGGACUUCGGGGUGCUGAGAGAGGGGUGCACCUAUUCUGUCUCUGUCGCACUGAGGAAUGUUGGAAUCGAUUCCUGCAGAUUCAGUGUGAAACAGCCACCUCCUGCCACAGGACUGAGAGUUAUAUAUACUCCUGGACCGGUAAGUCUACCUAACAGUUUG